rnacentral:rRNA from 1 species
UACGGGGGGGGCAAGCGUUGUUCGGAAUUACUGGGCGUAAAGGGCUCGUAGGCGGCCAACUAAGUCGGAUGUGAAAUCCCCAGGCUUAACCUGGGAACUGCAUCCGAUACUGGAUGGCUUGAAUCCGGGAGAGGGAUGCGGAAUUCCAGGUGUAGCGGUGAAAUGCGUAGAUAUCUGGAGGAACACCGGUGGCGAAGGCGGGUCUCUGGGCAACAACUGACGCUGAGGAGCGAAAGCGUGGGGAGCGAACAGG